rnacentral:rRNA from 1 species
GACGAACGCUGGCGGCGUGCUUAACACAUGCAAGUCGAACGGAAAGGCCCUGCUUUUGUGGGGUGCUCGAGUGGCGAACGGGUGAGUAACACGUGAGUAACCUGCCCUUUACUUUGUGAUAACUUCAGGAAACUGGGGCUAAUACCGGAUAGGAGCUCCUGCUGCAUGGUGGGGGUUGGAAAGUUUCGGCGGUUGGGGAUGGACUCGCGGCUUAUCAGCUUGUUGGUGGGGUAGUGGCUUACCAAGGCUUUGACGGGUAGCCGGCCUGAGAGGGUGACCGGCCACAUUGGGACUGAGAUACGGCCCAGACUCCUACGGGAGGCAGCAGUGGGGAAUAUUGCACAAUGGGCGGAAGCCUGACGCAGCAACGCCGCGUGCGGGAUGACGGCCUUCGGGUUGUAAACCGCUGUCGCCUGUGACGAAGCGUGAGUGACGGUAAUGGGUAAAGAAGCACCGGCUAACUACGUG